AGGGCACCAGUUAAACUUUAGAAGAUCAAAUUAAACAGAAGAAACAAUAAAAUGAUCAAAAGAGCAAAAACAGAUAAAGUGUUUUCUAGUCUGAAAUGAAAACAUCAAGUUGUUUCUUCAAACAUUUCCUCUUUCUAUGUUCUUGGUUUGAUUAUGGACAGAUUUACUAAGAACUCAUUUGAGAAAACUGCUUUCCAGAUAAAGUCUACUAGUAGUUGAAGGCAUUUAUCAAACUAAUGUUACCUUCUGAUCUCCACAAACUUUACUGUUCAGUGAAGAGAAUCAAAGUUUGUUGAGGAUUUCUAAAAAACCCACAGGUGAAGGUCUGAGAAGAACUCAGAUGGAUGGUCUAAAUGUGAAAUCAAGACUCAUGGUCACAAGUUUUAAGGCUUCUGUUAACCAUAAAGUUCAAACUAACAGAGAAGUACUGAGAAACUUUUAAAAUUUCAGUCCUCAGACUGUCUGAAGGUUCAAACUAACAGAGAUCUACUCAGGAACUUAGAAGAUAUCAGUCCUCAGACUGUCUGAAGGUUCAAACUAACAGAGAACUACUCAAGAACUUUUAAGAUUUCAGUCCUCAGACUGUGGAAAGGUUCAAACUAACAGAGAUCUACUCAGGAACUUAGAAGAUAUCAGUCCUCAGACUGUCUGAAGGUUCAAACUAACAGAGAUCUACUGUGGGACUUAGAAAAUUUCAGCCCUCAGACUGUGUGAAAGCUCAGGUCCUGAGGACUCGGGAGGUGUGGAGGCUUUGGAAAGUCUUGGAACUGAGGGUUCAACCCUCCAGCACAAAGGCUGAAGUCCAACCUCCUGAGAAAAACGGUCGAGAAAAGAGAAAGUAAAAAAAAAAACUCGAAAACGACAAAAAAUAGAUGAUAAAUGCGCAAAAAAAAGAAGAAUUAGUAUCUGAGCGAGUAGCUCAGGAGGAUAAGAAGAGGACUACCAAGCGGAGGGUCGCAGGUUCAAGACCUGCCAGUGGCAGUUUUCUUUCUUUGUCUUUGUCACACUUUUGAGAAAAUUUAAGAAGUGUCUGGUCUUGAACCAGCGACCUGCAGCUCCAUAGGCAAAUCCUUAACUCACUGAGCUACAGAUCAGAUGAAAAGAAAUAAAUUCGUCGUCCCUUUGGCAUCGAAGUUCCUGAAGUGACCACAUGGGCGGAGCCAAGGCGGAGUCUGGGUGGAGUCAGGGCGGAGAGUAGGCGGGGAGGUGGGUGGCGGCCUCCCCCCUCUACUCCCCCACCUCCCCCCACCGCCCACCACACCUUCCCCCGCCCGACGAGUUCUUCGAGUCUCCACGAGUCCUUCGAGUCUCCACAGGUUUUCCCGAGUUUCUGGAGUUUCCACCAGGUCGGAGGCAGAACAAGUUGUCAUGAAGAGGUGUUGAAAUCGGC
ensembl:lncRNA